ensembl:lncRNA
GUAAAGUUGUGAUCACGAUGACUGUUGCGGGCUCAGAAUCUGGGAGUCCUGCUGCGGUUCGCACUUUGAUCGCACAGCGAUCAGGUUAAACCUUUCAGUCCAUUACUUUGAACCCAGGCUCAGAGACCCACUUCCACAUGAGGAAGUCAGUGUUCAUAUUUAGUGAGGGUAGAUAUUGGUGUCAUGGUCUGGGUGAGUCCUGAAGCUUUCUGUGUUGUUGGCAUCUCCACCUCUGGGCGGAGUUCCCUGGUUUCCUCUGACUGGCGACAGCUGUGAGUAUUUAGGGAUUAAAGACCAGCGUUCACAUCCAUUCCUCGCCAGAUCGUCUGCCACCCCUCAUCAGUGAAGCCCAUCGCAGUAAAAGAAUCUUGUCGUAGUAUUUUCCUGUACUGAACUUGUUUUUUCCUCUGCUCACGCACACGGAUAUUCUCCGAUGUUGCUCAUUGGAUUUCGUCUACGCCUCAGCUUGAUCACCUACCCCUCUAUGCUUCGCCUCUCCCUGCAUGAAAUGACUCUGAGAAUACCACCACAUAAUUGCCCUCUGCCCCUCACCUCCCGGUUCCUGCACUGGAUGUUACCCAGUGUCGGGUUCCCCCCCUUGUCCACGACAGCCCCAAGGCUCCCUCAUGGACCCCCUCUCAGUUCACACAGUUAAUGUUUUGUUAGUAUUGUUCUUGUGAAUAUUGGUUCGUGGUGUUUUUGUAGAAGUGUUUAGGUUGUGCUUUUGGUACUGUACUAGGAGCUAGUACUUCAAGGUAUAAUUUUGUUCAUUGCAUGUCAUAAUUUCCUAAGUCUAGGUUCAUAGUUUGUCUUGUCAUGGUUAAUUGGUUAAGCGCCCUCUGCAUCGGUUUUCUUUGUGCUACAACACGUGCCCUGUAAUAAAAGUUUAUUUCACACACCAUCUCUG